UACGUAGGGCGCAAGCGUUGUCCGGAAUUAUUGGGCGUAAAGAGCUCGUAGGCGGCCUGUUGCGUCCGCUGUGAAAUCCCGGGGCUUAACCCCGGGCCUGCAGUGGAUACGGGCAGGCUGGAGGCAGGCAGGGGAGAACGGAAUUCCCGGUGUAGCGGUGAAAUGCGCAGAUAUCGGGAGGAACACCGGUGGCGAAGGCGGUUCUCUGGACCGAUAUUGACGCUGAGGAGCGAAAGCCAGGGGAGCAAACGGG
rnacentral:rRNA from 1 species